rnacentral:rRNA from 1 species
AUUGAACGCUGGCGGCAGGCCUAACACAUGCAAGUCGAACGAGCGGCGGACGGGUGAGUAAUGUCUGGGAAACUGCCUGAUGGAGGGGGAUAACUAAUGGAAACGGUAGCUAAUACCGCAUACCAUCGGAUGUGCCCAGCUGGGAUUAGCUAGUAGGUGGGCUAAAGUCUCACCUAGUCGACGAUCCCUAGCUGGGCUGAGAGGAUGACCAGCCACACUGGCACGGAUACACGGGCCAGACUCCUACGGGAGGCAGCAGUGGGGAAUAUUGCACAAUGGGCGCAAGCCUGAUGCAGCCAUGCCGGGUGUAUGAAGAAGGCCUUCGGGUUGUAAAGUACUUUCAGCGGGGAGGCGUUACCCGCAGAAGAAGCACCGGCUAACUCCGUGCCAGCAGCCGCGGUAAUAC